AUGAAGGCAACCUUUGUAGCCAUCUGCGUCCUCCUUGCAAUUGCGCACACCAUGGGUGCAGGUGGCGGAGGAGGCGUGGUUGAAUAUGAAGAGCACACGGGAGGCGGAUCAAGCGGACAUCACCAUGGGCCACUGACGGAAUAUGAGGACUCGCAACCAGGCGAGUCAGGACAAGCGGGACCUCCCUCUCGUCCAGGCCGCUAUCCUCUGCCAGGCGAGUCAG